UACAGAGGUCUCAAGCGUUGUUCGGAUUCAUUGGGCGUAAAGGGUGCGUAGGUGGCGCCGUAAGUCGGGUGUGAAAUUUCGGAGCUUAACUCCGAAACUGCAUUCGAUACUGCGGUGCUUGAGGACUGGAGAGGAGACUGGAAUUCAUGGUGUAGCAGUGAAAUGCGUAGAUAUUGGGAGGAACACCAGUGGCGAAGGCGGCUACCUGGACCGGAACUGACGCUGAGGAGCGAAAGCGUGGGGAGCGAACAGG
rnacentral:rRNA from 1 species